GGUAGUGUGGCCUAGCUCCUACAGCACUAGACUGGGACUCAGGAGAUCUGGGUUCUAUUUCCAGCUUUGCCA
rnacentral:tRNA from 1 species